rnacentral:tRNA from 1 species
AGUAAAAUAAUCUAAAUAAGAUGAUAAACUGUAAAUUUAUUUAUGAACUAAGUUCUUUUACUA